rnacentral:miRNA from 2 species
GGUCUUGUGAGGCUUGGUGCAGCUCGGGAACUGUUCUUGAUGGACUGGCAGGAACUCCAUGUCCACCACUGCCACUCCUGUGUUGUGGCAUUCCUCCUUGCCG